AAUACGAUCAGAUCCGCAAGUGAGUGGGAGUCUCCAAGUGAGUGACCUAAAAAACAAAAGAAUCCGCCUGGUUGCCUGCGGCGAUGGCGGCGCUCCGCUCCGCGGCGAGGAGGGUCCUCGGCGGCCAGGCACCGCGGACGGUCUACAGGGCGACCUUCGCGGAGGAGCGACAGCGUCUGUCGCCGGCGUUCAUCAAGGCCGCUUCGUCCGUCCAUCCUCGCCGCUUCUCAUCGCAGGGUGGCGAUGAUGAUCCGCUCACAUCUGAAGAGAAAAUGAGACUAUUUAAAAGGGGCGCUCACUUGAUCUUCAGGAUGACAAAAGCCAUCUCCACCGUUGUGGCCUGCGGAAUAGUCAUCAAGUGGUCAGUAACAGAGGUGUUCCGUCCUUACCCGACAAGCGAUUGUGCACGUGCUGUUCGCAAAUGCCGUGAGAUGCUACAGGGUCUACGGGGCAACCCUCCAGCAUUGGAGGUUGGUCCUGUGCUGGGUGAUGAGAUGCUGGCGGCGGAGGUGGCGGAGUUCAAGUCCAUGGUGAAGGAUAUGAAGCGGGAAGCAGCGGAGAGACUGGAGGAUUGAGUCAAGCUGGGAAGAUAUGCACCUGGUUCUCAAGCUAUCAUGACCAUUGUGUCUGUUGUAUGGAUUCCUAUGGUCUAUGUGAAACUCCUUUCAAGCUUGAUCCGGGACUUUUGUGCUCCGCAGCGUGCGACAUCGAAACAAUGAAAAUUGGAAGUCUUUUGUGUUGUUGUCUUCUCCAACCAUCUGAGAAGGGACCAAUGUAUGAGAAGGAGGCUUUGCUGGAUGUGAGGAGAUGUUGCUGCUCCUGGAUGUGAGUGGAUCUUGCAAGUUUGCGACUAUACUGUUACCAAGGACAUGAAGAAUUCGGUCGAAGCCUCUUUAUGAAAUGCAUGGUUACUGGAGCGCUCCAUGUUUGUCUA